rnacentral:rRNA from 1 species
AACGAACGCUGGCGGCGCGCUUAACACAUGCAAGUCGUACGCGAAAGGGGGCAACCCCGAGUAGAGUGGCGCACGGGUGAGUAACACGUGGGUAAUCUGCCUUUGAGUGGGGGAUAACGUCCCGAAAGGGGCGCUAAUACCGCAUAACUCCCCUUGGACCCAGGUCCUUGGGGGCAAAGAUGGCCUCUGCUUGCAAGCUAUCGCUUAAAGAGGAGCCCACGCCCCAUUAGGUAGUUGGUGAGGUAACGGCCCACCAAGCCUACGAUGGGUAGCCGGCCUGAGAGGGUGGCCGGCCACACUGGCACUGAGAUACGGGCCAGACUCCUACGGGAGGCAGCAGUGAGGAAUCUUGGGCAAUGGGCGCAAGCCUGACCCAGCGACGCCGCGUGGGUGAUGAAGGCCUUCGGGUCGUAAAACCCUGUGAGAUGGGAAGAAGCCGCGCCGUGCUAAUAUCACGGCGUGGUGACAGUACCGUCAGAGGAAGCCCCGGCUAACUACGUGCCAGCAGCCGCGGUAAAACGUAGGGGGCUAGCGUUGUUCGGAAUUACUGGGCGUAAAGCGCGUGUAGGCGGUUCGGCAAGUCGGAAGUGAAAGCCCUCGGCUCAACCGGGGAACUGCUUUCGAAACUGCUGGACUUGAGUGUGGGAAGGGGAAAGCGGAAUUCCAGGUGUAGCGGUGAAAUGCGUAGAUAUCUGGAAGAACACCGGUGGGCGGAGGCGGCUCUCUGGACCACUUCUGACGCUGAGACGCGAAAGCGUGGGGAGCAAACAGGAUUAGAUACCCUGGUAGUCCACGCCCUAAACGAUGGAUACUUGGCCGUAGGGAGUCAUAAAUCUCCCUGUGCCGGAGCUAACGCGUUAAGUAUCCCGCCUGGGGGAGUACGGUCGCAAGGCUG